GAAGCUAUGGUGUAGUCCGCGGCUAUGGUUUUAUGGUACAUAUUUUUACUGUGCUCGAUUCGAACUGCGAGAUCCGAGCUUUGCGAAGAUAAGAAAAAAAAUAUCUACAUUUCUUUUUGAGGCAGCCACCGACUGGUUUUCAAAGAGAUGGUUCUUGAGGAUUCAGAAAGAACGCAGCGAUUUUUCCAAUCAUCGGUUUCAGAGAGAAUUUUUGAGCUAUUCCAUCACCAUCAAACAAGAACCACCAGUCUCUGUUAUCUCUGUUGUCAGGUCAUUGCAAUUAUAUAAAAUUCCAUCAGAGAGAUCAGAGGGAAUCCGAUUUUAGAGUGUCAUCGCCCAACAGAGAAUAAACCACACAAGCAAAAAGAAAUUUUUCCUGCUCUUGGCUCAUCGGCAGUUCUUGGGUUCGACGCCUAGACUCGUUCCUCACUGCAAAUCUCAGUAGAGGGAGCACACAUCUCAUCAUAGCCAAGACGAAAGGAAGAAAAACACCCAGCAAACAAAGGGAGAGGGAGAAG
rnacentral:lncRNA from 1 species